UUAAAAUUAGUUAAAUAAAUAACAUAGGUUUGUCAAACCUAAAUUAUCAUUAUGAUAUUUUAAA
rnacentral:tRNA from 1 species